AGGCUUUGAUCCUGGCUCAGGAUGAACGCUGGCGGCGUGCCUAACACAUGCAAGUCGAGCGAGGACUUCGGUCCUAGCGGCGGACGGGUGAGUAACGCGUGGGUAAUCUGCCUCAUACACACGGAUAACAUACCGAAAGGUAUGCUAAUACGAGAUAAUAUUAAGAAAUGGCAUCAUUUCUUAAUCAAAGAAUUUCGGUAUGAGAUGAGCCCGCGUCCCAUUAGCUAGUUGGUAAGGUAAAAGCUUACCAAGGCGACGAUGGGUAGCCGACCUGAGAGGGUGAUCGGCCACACUGGAACUGAGACACGGUCCAGACUCCUACGGGAGGCAGCAGUGGGGAAUAUUGCACAAUGGGCGAAAGCCUGAUGCAGCAACGCCGCGUGAGCGAUGAAGGUCUUCGGAUCGUAAAGCUCUGUCCUCAAGGAAGAAUUUUGACGGUACUUGAGGAGGAAGCCCCGGCUAAUA
rnacentral:rRNA from 1 species